GAGAAGUCUGACGGAGCAACGCCGCGUGAACGAUGACGGCCUUCGGGUUGUAAAGUUCUGUUAUACGGGACGAAUGGCGUAACGGUCAAUACCCGUUACAAGUGACGGUACCGUAAGAGAAAGCCACGGCUAACUACGUGCCAGCAGCCGCGGUAAUACGUAGGUGGCAAGCGUUGUCCGGAAUUAUUGGGCGUAAAGGGCGCGCAGGCGGCGUCGUAAGUCGGUCUUAAAAGUGCGGGGCUUAACCCCGUGAGGGGACCGAAACUGCGAUGCUAGAGUAUCGGAGAGGAAAGCGGAAUUCCUAGUGUAGCGGUGAAAUGCGUAGAUAUUAGGAGGAACACCAGUGGCGAAAGCGGCUUUCUGGACGACAACUGACGCUGAGGCGCGAAAGCCAGGGGAGCAAACGGGAUUAGAUACC
rnacentral:rRNA from 1 species